rnacentral:tRNA from 1 species
GCCUUCGUGGUGUAACGAUAGUACACUCGGUCCGUAUUCGAGAGGUCCAGGCUCGAAUCCCGGCGAGGAUA